UUGGUCCUGAAUCAAGGCCAACAGUUUGCUGGACUUGUUGGUUUCAAGCGGGAGUCUAAAAAAAUGUCAACAUCCUCUAUGGUCAGUUGACCAUUUCAGAAGUGUAAUGAUAAAUUUAUUAGAAAGACAUAUUU